UCUGGGAGAGCUGAAGGCUCCACGGACUGAAAGCACAGACCGGGAAACCAUUGAGGGGCCGGGACUGCCCGCUGUCCUCCGUUCUUAGGAGUGCCAGAGAGCGUCCCAGACUGAGCCUGCUGCAGACCCCCACGGCUGAGGAAGAGCCUGGAGGCAGAGCUGAGAGGCGGGGACUAGGCACUGCCUGCCACGCGCCUGGGGCAGUUUUUGGUGAUAAAGAAUGAGAUCUGAAGCUGACUGCUAGCAGGCUCUGGGACAAGGAGACACAUAAGCGAGGCACCUGCUAAAACCCUCGAGAUCAGCGUUCCUUGUCCUUACCAGAGGCCAUGGGCACGGGACAACAUCACAGGAUUGUUCUCCUAAGUUAAAGACAAGGAAAC